CCUAUUCGAAGGGGCAAGAUGUAUUUUUCCAUAUUAAAUAUUUUGAAAAAGUUGAAUGCAGCAUUGUGCCAGAUAAUUAAAAUGUAAAUUUCAGUAUCUAUGCUUGCUUUGUGAUUUUUUAAAAUACAUUUAAGUUAGUUGUCUUUUAAAACAUGUGGUCAGCUGUUGUAUUCACAUAUGGUCAAAUGAUCAAAGUCUGAACUCCUCUCUAAUUGUCCCCCCGCUGCUCGUCUGCUCUGUCCGUGAUCAAGGCCUCAGCAGGUGAUGAGAAAGGCAUGAGAACAGGCUGGAAGGAGAAUGAGGCACCGAGAGGCCCAAGCUGAAAGAAAUAAAGACUUCCAGUACAUCACCCUGACAGUAAAGAGCGAAGGAAAAGUGACGUCUGGAAUACCUUUGUGUUUAUAGGGCAAGGGAGUGCACAGGGACAUGUCUUCCACCUUCCCAUCUACGGAAUCCUCCUCAUCCUAUCAGGCCCAAUUUGAAAUGCCAUAUUCUCUGAGAAGCCUUCCCCAGUCUCCAAGGUGAGUUGGAAAUUGUUAUAUUUUCCUUUGGUCUGCG
rnacentral:lncRNA from 1 species